rnacentral:misc_RNA from 1 species
GUUGAGUUGAGUUGAGUUGUUGAAUUUCAACAUGGGAAGUCUUAAAAAUGAAAACUUCUGAUUCUUCAAAUUGCAUUUCUUGCUCUUUGUUAUGAAAUUCUUGCCUUGCAUCCCGUUGGAUUGUAAUAACAUCUUCAGGAAUCUUGAGAACUCAUCUAGCUUUAUUUUUUGCCUACCCAAAGUUUCUUCAAGGUGUUGCUCAUUUGUUUCUUGAGAUUUUUCUUCAAUUUGAACAUUUGAGCCACGUAGAGUAUCGAAUGCUCCAGUAUAGAAGCGUGAUAAGUUAGUAGUGGAUGGAGUGUGAAGGAAAUUGGGGAGAUCUAAAAUGACACGGAGGGAAGCAUUAUUUAAAGAGUUUGAAUUGGGGAGAUCUAAAAUUACACGCAGGGAAGCAUUAUUUAAAGAGUUU